UCCUCUGACGUUAGCGGCGGACGGGUGAGUAACACGUGGAUAACCUACCUAUAAGACUGGGAUAACUUCGGGAAACCGGAGCUAAUACCGGAUAAUAUAUUGAACCGCAUGGUUCAAUAGUGAAAGACGGUUUUGCUGUCACUUAUAGAUGGAUCCGCGCCGCAUUAGCUAGUUGGUAAGGUAACGGCUUACCAAGGCAACGAUGCGUAGCCGACCUGAGAGGGUGAUCGGCCACACUGGAACUGAGACACGGUCCAGACUCCUACGGGAGGCAGCAGUAGGGAAUCUUCCGCAAUGGGCGAAAGCCUGACGGAGCAACGCCGCGUGAGUGAUGAAGGUCUUCGGAUCGUAAAACUCUGUUAUUAGGGAAGAACAAAUGUGUAAGUAACUAUGCACGUCUUGACGGUACCUAAUCAGAAAGCCACGGCUAACUACGUGCCAGCAGCCGCGGUAAUACGUAGGUGGCAAGCGUUAUCCGGAAUUAUUGGGCGUAAAGCGCGCGUAGGCGGUUUUUUAAGUCUGAUGUGAAAGCCCACGGCUCAACCGUGGAGGGUCAUUGGAAACUGGAAAACUUGAGUGCAGAAGAGGAAAGUGGAAUUCCAUGUGUAGCGGUGAAAUGCGCAGAGAUAUGGAGGAACACCAGUGGCGAAGGCGACUUUCUGGUCUGUAACUGACGCUGAUGUGCGAAAGCGUGGGGAUCAAACAGGAUUAGAUACCCUGGUAGUCCACGCCGUAAACGAUGAGUGCUAAGUGUUAGGGGGUUUCCGCCCCUUAGUGCUGCAGCUACGCAUUAAGCACUCCGCCUGGGGAGUACGACCGCAAGGUG
rnacentral:rRNA from 1 species